CCCUUAGAUGUUCUGGGCCGCACGCGCGCUACACUGAUGCAUUCAACGAGCCUAUCCUUGACCGACAGGUCCGGGUAAUCUUUGAAUCUGCAUCGUGACGGGGAUAGAUUAUUGCAAUUAUUAAUCUUCAACGAGGAAUGCCUAGUAGGCGCAAGUCAUCAGCUUGCGUCGAUUACGUCCCUGCCCUUUGUACACACCGCCCGUCGCUCCUACCGAUUGGGUGGUCCGGUGAGGCUUUGGGAUCUGAGCGGAAAGAGCGUUUCGCUGUUUCUGCCCGGAAAACUCAGUCGAACCUUAUCAUUUAGAGGAAGGAGAAGUCGUAACA
rnacentral:rRNA from 1 species